AAAACACAUAAUUGGAAAAUUUUAUAGUAUUUUAAUCUAAUCUUGUCCUCUUGGCAGAACCCAUUUAAAGGGAUGGAAGAUUAAUCUCCAUGGCAUCCUCUGAACCUAAGAUCCUAAGAUGCGUCACCCAUAAUCUGGUCGCACCAUCCAAAAGAAACCCUGAAGUCACAGAUCUGUGCUGUGCAACAUGGCUGUUGAGCACUGGGAAUGUGCCUGGUCCACAUGGGGUUGUGCUACAAGUACAAAAUACACACUGGAUUUUGAAG
rnacentral:lncRNA from 13 species